AGAUCGAUGAUGACUGCCUCAUAUACAUUUCUUGGGAAAGUUGAACAAAACAUAUGAAAACUCAUAACUCAUUUUCAUUGUGACUGAGGUAA